rnacentral:rRNA from 1 species
ACGAACGCUGGCGGCACGCUUAACACAUGCAAGUCGAACGAGAGAAGAGAAGCUUGCUUUUCUGAUCUAGUGGCGGACGGGUGAGUAACACGUGAGCAAUCUGCCUUUCAGAGGGGGAUACCGAUUGGAAACGAUCGUUAAUACCGCAUAACAUAAUUGAACCGCAUGAUUUGAUUAUCAAAGAUUUAUCGCUGAAAGAUGAGCUCGCGUCUGAUUAGCUAGUUGGUAAGGUAACGGCUUACCAAGGCGACGAUCAGUAGCCGGACUGAGAGGUUGAUCGGCCACAUUGGGACUGAGACACGGCCCAGACUCCUACGGGAGGCAGCAGUGGGGAAUAUUGCACAAUGGAGGAAACUCUGAUGCAGCGAUGCCGCGUGAGGGAAGAAGGUUUUAGGAUUGUAAACCUCUGUCUUCAGGGACGAAAAAAGACGGUACCUGAGGAGGAAGCUCCGGCUAACUACGUGCCAGCAGCCGCGGUAAUACGUAGGGAGCGAGCGUUGUCCGGAAUUACUGGGUGUAAAGGGAGCGUAGGCGGGAUCGCAAGUCAGAUGUGAAAACUAUGGGCUUAACCCAUAAACUGCAUUUGAAACUGUGGUUCUUGAGUGAAGUAGAGGUAAGCGGAAUUCCUAGUGUAGCGGUGAAAUGCGUAGAUAUUAGGAGGAACAUCAGUGGCGAAGGCGGCUUACUGGGCUUUAACUGACGCUGAGGCUCGAAAGCGUGGGGAGCAAACAGGAUUAGAUACCCUGGUAGUCCACGCCGUAAACGAUGAUUACUAGGUGUGGGGGGACUGACCCCUUCCGUGCCGCAGCAAACGCAAUAAGUAAUCCACCUGGGGAGUACGACCGCAAGGUUGAAACUCAAAGGAAUUGACGGGGGCCCGCACAAGCAGUGGAGUAUGUGGAUUAAUUCGAAGCAACGCGAAGAACCUUACCAGGUCUUGACAUCGUAUGCAUAGCUCAGAGAUGAGUGAAAUCUCUUCGGAGACAUAUAGACAGGUGGUGCAUGGUUGUCGUCAGCUCGUGUCGUGAGAUGUUGGGUUAAGUCCCGCAACGAGCGCAACCCUUACUGUUAGUUGCUACGCAAGAGCACUCUAGCAGGACUGCCGUUGACAAAACGGAGGAAGGUGGGGAUGACGUCAAAUCAUCAUGCCCCUUAUGACCUGGGCCUCACACGUACUACAAUGGCUGUCAACAGAGGGAAGCAAAGCCGCGAGGUGGAGCAAACCCCUAAAAGCAGUCUUAGUUCGGAUUGUAGGCUGCAACCCGCCUACAUGAAGUCGGAAUUGCUAGUAAUCGCAGAUCAGCAUGCUGCGGUGAAUACGUUCCCGGGCCUUGUACACACCGCCCGUCAAGCCAUGAAAGCCGGGGGUACCUGAAGUACGUAACCGCGAGGAGCGUCCUAGGGUAAAACUGGUGAUUGGGGCU